AAUCGAACCCGGAGAUAGCUGGUUCUCCUCGAAAUAGCUUUAGGGCUAGCCUCAUGAGAGUCUUUUGGAGGUAGAGCACUGAAUUCCCGCGGGGGCGUCAAAGCUUACCAAAGGAUAUCAAACUCCGAAUGCCAGUAAGAUGAUUCAUGGGAGUCAGACUGCACGAGAUAAGUUGGGUAGUCAAAAGGGAAAGAGCCCAGACCUGCAGCUAAGGUCCCAAAAUGUGUGUUAAGUGGAAAAGGAUGUGGGAUUUCAAAGACAACCAGGAUGUUGGCUUAGAAGCAGCCAUACAUUAAAAGAGUGCGUAAUAGCUCACUGGUCGAGAGGUCCUGCGCCGAAAAUGUCCGGGGCUGAAACACACUACCGAAGCUCAGGAAUUAACGUAGUUAAUUGGUAGAGGAGCAUUCUUAAAGGGAAGAAGCAGUACCGGAAGGAGCUGUGGACUUUUAAGAAGAGAGAAUGCCGGAAUGAGUAGCGAGAGGAAGGUGAGAAUCCUUCCGGCCGAAUACCCAAGGUUUCCAGAGUAAAGCUGAUCUGCUCUGGGUAAGUCGGGGCCUAAGGUGAGGUCGAAAGACGUAGCCGAUGGACAACAGGUUGAAAUUCCUGUACUGCAGUAUAACAGAACUGUGGGGACGCAGAGGGAGAGCACUAGCGGGAAUGGAAUCCCGUGGCAAGCGAGGUAGGAGUAGAGUUGGCAAAUCCGCUCUAUAAUCCGAAGACGUGAUGCAUACCGAACUGAAGUAGGGAAAUGUGUGAGCCAGCUGCCAAGAAAAGCCGCUAUUGUUUGUACUGUACCCGUACCGUAAACCGACACAGGUAGGUGAGGAGAGAAUCCUAAGGCCGACGGGAGAAGCAUUGUUAAGGAACUCGGCAAAAUGACUCCGUAACUUCGGGAGAAGGAGUGCCAGUGAGAGCUGGCCGCAGAGAAUUGGCCCAAGCAACUGUUUAGCAAAAACACAGGUCUAUGCAAAACCGUAAGGUGAAGUAUAUGGGCUGACGCCUGCCCGGUGCUGGAAGGUUAAGGGGAGAGGUUAGCGCAAGCGAAGCUUUGAACUUAAGCCCCAGUAAACGGCGGCCGUAACUAUAACGGUCCUAAGGUAGCGAAAUUCCUUGUCGGGUAAGUUCCGACCCGCACGAAAGGCGUAAUGAUUUGGGCACUGUCUCAACAAUGCACCCGGUGAAAUUGAAAUACCAGUGAAGAUGCUGGUUACCUGCGCCAGGACGGAAAGACCCCAUGGAGCUUUACUCCAGCUUGAUACUGGGAUUCGAUAUUGUAUGUACAGGAUAGGUGGGAGGCGAAGAAGCAUUGACGCCAGUUGAUGCGGAGCCGCUGUUGGGAUACCACCCUUGCAGUAUUGGAUUUCUAACCAGCAGCCGUGACCCGGCUGGGGGACAAUGUCAGGUGGGGAGUUUGACUGGGGCGGUCGCCUCCGAAAGGGUAUCGGAGGCGCUCAAAGGUUCCCUCAGAAUGGUUGGAAACCAUUCGAAGAGUGCAAAGGCAGAAGGGAGCUUGACUGCGACACCGACGG
rnacentral:rRNA from 1 species